rnacentral:rRNA from 1 species
UACGUAGGGGGCGAGCGUUGUCCGGAUUUAUUGGGCGUAAAGGGCGUGUAGGCGGCUUCUUAAGUCUGGGGUGAAACUCCGGGGCUCAACCCCGGAACUGCCUCGGAUACUGGGGAGCUUGAGUGCUCUAGAGGGCAGUGGAAUUCCCGGUGUAGCAGUGAAAUGCGUAGAGAUCGGGAGGAACACCAGUGGCGAAGGCGACUGCCUGGGGAGUAACUGACGCUGAGGCGCGAAAGCUGGGGGAGCAAACGGGAUUAGAUACCCCGGUAGUCCCAGCCGUAAACGAUGAGUGCUAGGUGUAGCGGGUAUCGACCCCCGCUGUGCCGGAGUUAACGCAAUAAGCACUCCGCCUGGGGAGUACGGCCGCAAGGUUGAA